rnacentral:rRNA from 1 species
AGCGAACGCUGGCGGCAGGCUUAACACAUGCAAGUCGAACGGGCGUAGCAAUACGUCAGUGGCAGACGGGUGAGUAACGCGUGGGAACGUACCUUUUGGUUCGGAACAACCCAGGGAAACUUGGGCUAAUACCGGAUAAGCCCUUACGGGGAAAGAUUUAUCGCCAAAAGAUCGGCCCGCGUCUGAUUAGCUAGUUGGUGAGGUAACGGCUCACCAAGGCGACGAUCAGUAGCUGGUCUGAGAGGAUGAUCAGCCACAUUGGGACUGAGACACGGCCCAAACUCCUACGGGAGGCAGCAGUGGGGAAUAUUGGACAAUGGGCGCAAGCCUGAUCCAGCCAUGCCGCGUGAGUGAUGAAGGCCCUAGGGUUGUAAAGCUCUUUUGUGCGGGAAGAUAAUGACGGUACCGCAAGAAUAAGCCCCGGCUAACUUCGUGCCAGCCGCCGCUGUAAG